AUGAAUGCCCUGAGUUGGAACUGCCGGGGAGGGGGGAAUUCCCGGACAGUUCGAGACUUGGCGACGAUGGUGCAGUCGCAUUCCCCCAAAUUUGUAUUUUUGUGUGAAACUCGACAGAAAGCUAGUUAGAUGAGGAGAUAUAGGGGUUGUCUCGGCCUUAAGGGUUUUGAAGGUGUGGAUAGCUCGGGCAUGAGUGGUGGUUUGGUGUUAUACUGGCAUGAAUCGUAUCAAGUUACUUUGCUGGGGAAGGAUGAUCGGUACAUUGAUGUUUUUGUCAUAACUAAACCGAACGGUGAGCCAUGGAAAUUGACCGGGGUGUAUGGAGAGCCUAGGGUGGAGAAUAGACAUCUUAUGUGGUCUACCUUACAAGACUUGAGUGCACAAUCUAAUUUACCCUGUCUUGUAAUCGGAGAUUUUAACGAGGCGUUUUGGAGUUUUGAACAUAUGUCCCUUACACCCCACCCUAAACCACAAAUGGUAGCUUCCCGGGAUACUUUGAUGCUUUGUGAUUUAGUGGACCUGGGUUUUUCGGGUGUGCCCUAUACCUACGACAAUAUGAGGUCUGGUGCAGCAAAUGUGUGA
rnacentral:rRNA from 1 species